GGGAGGGGCGCGCCUCGCCGCCAUGUCCUGCCGCCGAAGGCGGGCUGCGGCUGGUCCGGGGCCGCCUGGUUUUGGUGGUAGAAAUCACCUCCCCGCAGCUCAGGCUGUAGGCAGAGUUAUUUAGAUGCUCGCCGACGAGGGCUCGGAGGAAUGCGGCCUGUAUCGGAGAGGAAAGUAAACUAAGAUGCUCCCUAUUACUUCUACAAAAGUUCAUCAGAUCCUAUAGGGACAGUAACAAGGAAAACACCAAAUCUCUCCACUGGUAUACCUGUCCUAAGAGUUCCAGCAUUAGGGGGAGUCACAGAAAAUACAUAAGACCCUGGCUCAAAACUAAUAAAAGGAAGUGGUUCCUCAUGCAACAGUAGUACACCUAUGAAAUUCCAUGCCAUUGGAUGUUAUGGAUAUUUGGAGGUUACCUGGUCUUAAGGAGAGUCUGGUCAAAUUCAUGAACAUGAAGUUAAUUGAGGACUGUGAAAUCUACUAAUGGGAAAUUUCCUAAAGCCCAGGAAGAGAACAGAGAGUGUGCUUGCUUGCUUUGCUGAGUUGAAACCCUGCAGAUGACUCUUCAUUGUCCACUGAUACUACCAGGUCCAUGGUGCAGCCUUCUUGCAGCUAGUUCUCCUCUCAUGAUUCUACCUGCAGCAUAUGCAGAGGUGCCUGGACAUACCCAGCCAGCUUUCAGGGGCAAACCUGUCACGUGAACUGGCAUGAGAGUGCACACUUCACAUGUUCCUCAAGUAUGGACAUACCAGGAAUGAGGAGUCUGAGACAUGGGUUAAAGACAAGAUGGAGAGGCCUGCUUAGCAUCCACAGCUUUGCUUUAACAGACCUGGCUGGACUUCACCAGGGAAAGUCAGUGAACGAACUUAGCAAUGAGAGUACAGAACAGGAUGAGGAGAAUAAUUUAAUUUCAGUUGCUACUGUGACAAUGUUUUUGUCUUUGUGUACUUGAGUGAAUCACUUAAUUUAUCUGCCUUAAUUCUCUGGUUCAUAAAAUGCCUGAGAUAAUACUUUCUUCCCUAAACCACAGGCAAAUGUACAUGAAAAUACUUGCUUCCCUAAAUUACAAGGGAGUUGCAAGAAUUAAUUAGUUAAUGUUUGCAAAGUGCUUUGGAGGCAGAAAGCACUCUAUAAAUGCUAAUUAUUAAAUCAAAGGUUUAUCCGACUUUAUUACUAAACCACUAAUAAAAUAAGUUACAUAGCAGUUGCAGGUUGGAAGAGGCACUUCUACUGUCUAAAAGAUAUAAAGGUUUUAAUUAGCAAAUGUUUUGAAAGUGCUUUGCUGAUGAAAAAAAUGCUAAGUGUUAAUAAAGGUUUUCCCUAAUGAAAACGGCUACAAAAUACGAACUCCUGGAUGCUACUGUAACUUCUGCAUAUAUUAUCUAAAGUUUUGUCCCAUGACAGCAAUAUUUUUAUUUGAUGCGCAGUUUCUGUAAUAUUGGUGAAAAAAAUUGUGGUUAUGUUUGUCUAAUAAAUGUUCAGAUGCAGCAAGAGAUUAAAGGUAUCAUUCUUAUCAGAGAAUAGCAAAACCUAAUGUAUUAUGAAAUUAUACAUAUAUACACAUACCAUUAUUUUUAUUAUUUAACUUAAAA